UCUUGGAUCAAAGUCCAACUGCAGGAAGGAACAUGUCUAUACCAAAAGCCAAGCAAAUGGUUGGAAAUAAAAGUGGUUCUGAGGAUGGGGCCUGUAGCUGAUGGUACGUGGACCAUCUUGUCACCGCACCAAGCCUCCAUCUCCACAGACUACACCGUCCUUGUCAAAUGGCCAAGUUUGGGAGGUGGAGCAUCUUUUCCAUAUCUACUGCUACUUUGAGUGUCUUCUUAUUUUCAGGCAAUGACCCUGGCAGCUCAUACAUACAGGCUAGCAUGACAUAUGCCAUGUUUUUUUGGGUGACUCUGGUUGGUGACAUGAACUGCUUCUGCCAAGCGAUCAAGAGGAGAAACUGUUGAAAACCCUUGCUGUGUGUGAGAUUUGGUCUGCUUUUCUCUGGAAUCUUGGAAGCCCUGUCUGUGUGGAAACACAUCCCAGGAAGCAGAGACAACUGGGUGUAGCAAGAAUGUAAAUUAGAGCAAGAUGCAUCAAAGAAAACAUAUCUUCAGACUCGUGUGGGUUUCUUUUUAAUUGGAAUUUAUAAUUGCACCUAAUUAUAGGACAUAUUUUACAUGUUCCCUUUGAGAGGCUGA